rnacentral:rRNA from 1 species
UACGGAGGGAGCGAGCGUUGUCCGAAGUUACUGGGCGUAAAGCGCGCGGUAGGCGGGGAAUUAAGUGAGAAGUGAAAGGCUGGGGCUCAACCCCAUGCAGUGCUUCUCAUACUGGUUCUCUUGAGGGUGGUAGAGAGAAGUGGAAUGGCUGGUGUAGCGGUGAAAUGCGUAGAUAUCAGUCGGAACACCGGUGGCGAAGGCGGCUACCUGGCCCAACAUUGACGACUGAGGCCCGAAAGCGUGGGGAUCAAACAGG